GUGAGGUAAUGGCUCACCAAGGCGACGAUGGGUAGCCGGCCUGAGAGGGUGAACGGCCACACUGGCACUGAGACACGGGCCAGACUCCUACGGGAGGCAGCAGUGGGGAAUUUUGCGCAAUGGGGGAAACCCUGACGCAGCAACGCCGCGUGAGUGAUGAAGGCCCUCGGGUCGUAAAGCUCUUUUAGUGGGGAAGAAACAUCCAGGAACCAAUACUUCCUGGACUUGACGGUACCCACAGAAAAAGUUCCGGCUAACUACGUGCCAGCAGCCGCGGUAAUACGUAGGGAGCAAGCGUUGUUCGGAAUUAUUGGGCGUAAAGAGCGCGUAGGCGGCUUGGCAAGUCUGGUGUGAAAUCCCACAGCUUAACUGUGGAACUGCAUCAGAAACUGCCUGGCUAGAGCGCGGGAGAGGAGAGUGGAAUUCCCAGUGUAGAGGUGAAAUUCGUAGAUACUGGGAGGAACACCGGUGGCGAAGGCGGCUCUCUGGACCGCAACUGACGCUGAGGCGCGAAAGCUAGGGGAGCGAACGGGAUUAGAUACCCCGGUAGUCCUAGCCGUAAACGAUGGGCACUAGGUGUAGGGGGUAUUGACCCCUUCUGUGCCGCAGCUAACGCAUUAAGUG
rnacentral:rRNA from 1 species